ensembl:lncRNA
GGACCAGACUGGUUUCUGGCCUUCCUGUCCGCUUGCACUUGCGAGAAGAAAUUUUAUUAUUUUAUCUGAAUUCUGUGUCUCUGUGUAUUUCUUUCUGAGAUUUCUGCAACAUUUGGUGCGUUGGCCGGGAAUUGGGAAUGAAAUAGCCCUUUGGGGCAUCGGCCGAACCCCACCAGAGGGAGCAGCUCUCUGUCUCCUGGAGAGGAAAGGCGUGCCCCUGGGACUAAUUUCCUAGGCUCCCCAACAGGACACAGAGAUCCCUCACCAUUGGAAGUUUGCCCGAACCCGAGAAGGAGACUACAGAAGGAGGACUGCUGCUCUUGGUGUUUCAUCUGUCUCUUUCCUUUGCUGAAUGGGAGCAGCUUCGUGAAGAUGGGGUUCAUCAUGCUGGAUAUGCGGUAACCAUGAAGGAUGAGGUGGUCCUAGGCAGGACCGUCCAUGCAAUGUGCUAAGCUCUGGGCACUCAUACAGGCACUCCGAUGGGCGAAGGGUAAAAAAGGUAUAUAUAUAUAUAUGGACUUGUGCUAUGCAUUUGCUACAUUAUACAUCAUUGGCAUGAUUUACCAAGAGUGAGGUCUUCUCAUGGCAGAAGGGAAGCUAAUUAAAAAUAAACAGGAAAAGGGCCAGGGAUUUAGCUCAGUGGUUCCGGUGCCUGCCUUGCAAGCACAAGGUUCCAAGUUCAAUCCCCAUUACCAAACAAAACAAAACAAAAAAAUAAACAGGAAAUUAUACAGUUGCUAGAGACAGUGUGGGAACCUAGCAAAGUCACAGUAAUAUAUUGUUCAGGACAUCAGAAAGGCAAAGACUUCGUUGCACAAGGUAACAAUUAAAGCUGAUGCUGAAGGCCGAGAAAGACAACACACUCAAAGCCCUGCUCUCACCACUCCGGAGGCUGGUGAGGCAACGCACGGCUGAAGAAUGGGAGCACCAACAAGGAUGACAUGGAUUAUUGUGCUGUGCCAGAUCACCACUGCCUUAAGUUUCUUUGUUUUCAAAUUACGGGUGUUUAGGCCUAGUUAUGAAAAGUUUGAUGAACAAUAUGUGACUUUUAAAAUGGUAAAAUGGGAACCAGAAGGCUAUCUGUUUACAAUAUUCUUUGAUAAAAACAUUAUGGGGGACCUGGGAUAACUUCUGGCUGUGGGGGCCUAUUGUAAUGAAAAAUUAUACUGCAAAGAGAAAACACAAGUUUGGAUCAACAGCUCCCUUGUUGGACAAGCCACUGGUAAUUGUAACAGUUGUAAACAAGGUCAAUGUAAUCCUAUAUCUAUGUAUAUGCCAGUCCCAUGGGAUCUUAUUUGGCUACAAGGAGAAAGUACUUCAUUAGGACAAGAAGUUUAAAAGAUCUUGAGGAAAUUCGAGACACACUUCAGGCUUUAGAAACCCAACUAGAUUCACUGGCCAAUAGAAUAGACGUGCUCUCGAUUUGCUCACAGCCCAGAAAGGAGGGACUUGCUUACUCCUUGGAGAAAAGUUGUUAAUAUGCUAAUAAAUCUGGUGUAGUACAAAAAUCACUAGACAAACUAAAAGAUCAGAUCAAGGUUCUUGAUGAGAAAUUUCAUAUAGGAGAGCCAUCCUAUGAGAUUAAUUUUAC